AACGAACGCUGGCGGCAUGCCUAACACAUGCAAGUCGAACGAGACCUUCGGGUCUAGUGGCGCACGGGUGCGUAACGCGUGGGAACCUGCCCUUAGGUUCGUAAUAACUCCCCUAAAGGGGUGCUAAUACCGGAUAAUUUCUUCGGACCAAAGAUUUAUCGCCUUUGGAUGGGCCCGCGUUGGAUUAGCUAGUUGGUAGGGUAAAAGCCUACCAAGGCGACGAUCCAUAGCUGGUCUGAGAGGAUGAUCAGCCACACUGGGACUGAGACACGGCCCAGACUCCUACGGGAGGCAGCAGUGGGGAAUAUUGGACAAUGGGCGAAAGCCUGAUCCAGCAAUGCCGCGUGAGUGAUGAAGGCCUUAGGGUUGUAAAGCGCUUUUACCCGGGAUGAUAAUGACAGUACCGGGAGAAUAAGCUCCGGCUAACUCCGU
rnacentral:rRNA from 1 species